AGCAGCCGCGGUAAUUCCAGCUCCAAUAGCGUAUAUUAAAGUUGUUGCAGUUAAAAAGCUCGUAGUUGAAUUUCGAGAUCAAAUUGUUGGUCGUGCCUUGGUACGCACUGGCAUUAUUGGUUUCUCCCUUCUGACGAACCAUGAUGUCAUUAAUUUGGUGUCUUGGGGAAUCAGGACUGUUACUUUGAAAAAUUAGAGUGUUUAAAGCAGGCUCACGCUUGAAUACAUUAGCAUGGAAUAAUGAAAUAGGACGUUUGAUUCUAUUUUGUUGGUUUCUAGGAUCGACGUAAUGAUUAAUAGGGAUAGUUGGGGGCAUUAGUAUUCAAUUGUCAGAGGUGAAAUUCUUGGAUUUAUUGAAGGCUAACUACUGCGAAAGCAUUUGCCAAGGAUGUUUUCAUUAAUCAAGAACGAAAGUUAGGGGAUCGAAGACGACCAGAUACCGUCGUAGUCUUAACCAUAAACUAUGCCGACUAGGGAUCGGGUGAUGUUAAUUUUUAAUGACUCAUUCGGCGCCUUAACC
rnacentral:misc_RNA from 1 species